UUCAUGGCCAAAGAUUAGUUGUCGAAGCUUACACAAGGAUCAUACGAUCACCAAUGCUUUGGGGAAAGUCUCCGGCCAAUUUUGCGGAAACGUAAUGCUUUCACGAAAUCAUUUGAACUUCGGAUUGGCCAUGGCCAUCCUAUCGACUCAGUGAGCUACCUCUGCCACGAAUGGAUCCUCCUGCUAACUCGUUUUGAGUCUCGUCUUCAAGUGAAGCUCUGGCAGCUGCCCAUUUUGUUGGUGGAUGUGUGGGCUUGUUGGGUACGGACAAGCCACGGCGGGUUCUUGGUUCACUCUCCCAGUUUGGUAUAUUCCAUGACUGGUGUUAGUUUUCUGUCGGCAAUGGGGUUUUGUAUCCUAAACGAAAGAUAUCACUAAUGAUCGCGUCAGCGGUCAACUCAAUGGAGCUUACUCUUGGUCCAUGA
rnacentral:RNase_MRP_RNA from 2 species